UACGGGAGGCAGCAGUGGGGAAUAUUGCACAAUGGGCGCAAGCCUGAUGCAGCCAUGCCGCGUGUAUGAAGAAGGCCUUCGGGUUGUAAAGUACUUUCAGCGGGGAGGAAGGCGAUGUGGUUAAUAACCGCGUCGAUUGACGUUACCCGCAGAAGAAGCACCGGCUAACUCCGUGCCAGCAGCCGCGGUAAUACGGAGGGUGCAAGCGUUAAUCGGAAUUACUGGGCGUAAAGCGCACGCAGGCGGUCUGUUAAGUCAGAUGUGAAAUCCCCGGGCUUAACCUGGGAACUGCAUUUGAAACUGGCAGGCUUGAGUCUCGUAGAGGGGGUAGAAUUCCAGGUGUAGCGGUGAAAUGCGUAGAGAUCUGGAGGAAUACCGGUGGCGAAGGCGGGCCCCUGGGACGAAGACUGACGCUCAGGGUGCGAAAGCGUGGGGAGCAAACGAGGAUUAGGAUACC
rnacentral:rRNA from 1 species